UAAAGUCACAUUUCAUCCACAGUGUUUAUUCCAGCUACUAGUAAACGGUAACGUAGCGUCCCGUGCAGCGAUGUUUCUGGAAGAAAAACAAGUU